rnacentral:rRNA from 1 species
GAGGUAGCUUGCUACUGGAUUCAGCGGCGGACGGGUGAGUAAUGCCUAGGAAUCUGCCUGGUAGUGGGGGAUAACGUCCGGAAACGGGCGCUAAUACCGCAUACGUCCUACGGGAGAAAGCAGGGGACCUUCGGGCCUUGCGCUAUCAGAUGAGCCUAGGUCGGAUUAGCUAGUUGGCGGGGUAAAGGCCCACCAAGGCGACGAUCCGUAACUGGUCUGAGAGGAUGAUCAGUCACACUGGAACUGAGACACGGUCCAGACUCCUACGGGAGGCAGCAGUGGGGAAUAUUGGACAAUGGGCGAAAGCCUGAUCCAGCCAUGCCGCGUGUGUGAAGAAGGUCUUCGGAUUGUAAAGCACUUUAAGUUGGGAGGAAGGGUUGUAACCUAAUACGUUGCAAUUUUGACGUUACCGACAGAAUAAGCACCGGCUAACUUCGUGCCAGCAGCCGCGGUAAUACGAAGGGUGCAAGCGUUAAUCGGAAUUACUGGGCGUAAAGCGCGCGUAGGUGGUUAGGUAAGUUGGAUGUGAAAGCCCUGGGCUCAACCUGGGAACUGCAUCCAAAACUGCUUGGCUAGAGUACGGUAGAGGGUAGUGGAAUUUCCU